UACGUAGGGGGCAAGCGUUUGUCCGGAUUUAUUGGGCGUAAAGAGCGUGUAGGCGGCUUUACAGGUCCGUUGUGAAAACUCGAGGCUCAACCUCGAGACGCCGGUGGAAACCGUAAAGCUAGAGUCCGGAAGAGGAGAGUGUAGUACUCGGUGUAGCGGUGAAAUGCGCAGAUAUCAGGAGGAACACCCGGUGGCGAAAG
rnacentral:rRNA from 1 species